UUUUUUUUUUUUUGAGAAACCAAAUAUAGAAUACUAAUUGUAUAGUUUUUUGAUAACAAUUAAGUUGUUCCAUUUGGAUUAUAAAAAUAUAUAAUAGUACCUAUUUGGGCUCAUGUCAUAUGUUUUAUUAACAUGUACUUCCUGGUUUAUAUCAAAUUACAGAAUUUUAGAGUUUCAGAAUAAUUUGAAUUUAGAAAGCUAUUACUGUAAUUAUGUGGGGGCAUUAAUGGAGGCUUGUAAUUGUAAUGCUGAAAAUAUAAAUUAAUUGGCUUGUAAAUGAGACAGGUAUAGCAAGUAAAUGAGGUCCUGAGGGUAUAUUUUUAUUCAGCUACUGAGUUGCAGGAUAAAGUCAAAAUAUUUACCGAGGUUAAUGGAAUAAUUAUAUAGGAUUUAUCUAUACUAUUAAAAUUACAUUUAAAAUAUAGAGCUAUAUUGCUUACCUUAAAUUAUAAAAUGAGCUUUCUCCAAAUUCAAAAUGCUUGUAAUUCACAGUCAUUUUUGGAUUACUGUAAAAAGGUAACUAACUGCCUUUUUACAAUUAGGAAUUUAUUUACAACUUUCUCUUCCAAUCCAUUUUCUAGUCUUUUAUACAAAAGACUCAUCUGCUUUCAAGGUUAGUUCAUUUAAGUCAUAAGGUAGAGAGAAGCAAGUACAGAAUACAACACAGAACCACAGCCAUAAGGUAGAUUUCUCAAGUACUGUCCCUAAUGUUACCGGGGGUCCUUGCUUCCAGAGCUCCCAAGAUGGUGGUGGGCCACUUCCAAGAUGGUGGCAAGAGUCGUAUUCUCUGACCUGGGGUUCUUGGUCUCAUGGAUUCCAAGGAAUGGAAUCUUGCGCCAUGUGGAGAAGCGUCAGAUAAUUAGGCAGCAGUCCAACAAUUAGGUUUUGUGGAACUUUUACUAUGUCAUCUAUUUAUUGGAAUUCCCCCUGGAUACCAGGACCCCCUCCAGCAGAGCUUAAAGUUAUAGUUACAGGAAGUACAAAUUCCUUAUGUGGAUCCCUGGAAGUGUGAUGAGAAGAACCACUGUUUCCAAGAUCUAUUUAUUCUAUUUAUCAGGCCUAUAAAAUCAUGUAAUGGCCAUGGCUUCAACUAGACUCCACAUCUUGAAUCACAGAACUCAACGAAUGGCAUCAACUACAAGCUGGUAUUCUGCUAUACAUUUAAGAGGCCAUUUUAAUAUUCUAUUAGUCUAGCAGCUUCUAAGUGAUGAGGGAUAUGGGGGGACUGGAGGAUCCCGUGCUCACUUCCUUUUCUGUAAAAGGAGCUCUUUGAUCCAAGGUGACAUGGUAUGGGAUCCAAUGACAAUAAAUCAGUUAUUCUGUGAACCCUGAUCAAAACUUGACUAAACUUUUGACAGUUAGGUUUUUUCCUGACCACAGACUCCUCACCUUUCUUUUCUUAGAAAAUUUACAUUGGAAAACAGAUGUAAAUUUUCUCCAGCCUCUUGCAAGGUUUACAGUCCAGGACUUUGAGGUCCUGGGAGUCAUCCUUUUGAAAUACAAUCAUCAAAGAAGAUAGUGCUCCAAUCUCCUAGUCUCUGUGGGAGGGUUGGAACCUAACUUCAGUAAACUAAUCACCAAUUAGCAAACACAGAGGGGCUGAUCAUACUGACCCACUUUCCCACUAAAAUGUCUAGUACUUUCCACCAGCUCACCACAGUGCUUAAAAACUCUCCUGUCUUUUGUUUUACUAGAGUUGAGUCCAAUCUCUUUCAUCUAUUGCAAUAGUGUUGAAUAAAGUCUUCCUUGCCUAA
rnacentral:lncRNA from 1 species